UUUGGGACAGAAACCUCUUUUUGAAAAAUUGCAGGGCGGGGGAGAAAAACUGUGGGGGAAAGCAGCAAUUCAGACUUCAGGGCGGGGAGCAUUGCUGGGCAGCAGGAGGCCUGCAGAUCACAUUAGGGAACUUUAUUUUGCCCGUUUUAAAGUUUUUUGCCACCUUUAAUGUGAUUUCUGUCCUCUGGGAAUGUAACACCUGCGAUUGCAUAGUCCUAGUAACUUAGUAUUUGCGGUUUCCUUAUCUGCAGUAAUUACGGAGAACGGAACACCCGGGAAUUCAAGCUUCGCCUGUACUUAAACCAAUUGUUAUACUUUAGGAUGAACUGUUAUUAACGCUUAAAGUAUUUGUAUCUGUAUUGCUGGUCAGAGACUGAAACAAAACUGAACAGCUCUCUAGGGUCCUAAGACAGGCCUCUUUCAACUCUGCCACCAGGGAACCUUUAAACUGGAGAUCCUAGAGGCUGAACCUAGAACCUUGUGCAGCAUGGGCGUAACAACAAUCGGGCAAGGGGAGGCAGUUGUCUGGGGGCCCCACUGCCUGGAGGGGCCCCCCAGAGGCACCUCACGUGACUCCCCAUUGCCCCCUGCCCAGCCCCAAGUCCCCUCAGCCACUUGCCCUGUUCGCUCUCUCUCCUGCUUGUUCUCCUGGCCCGCAACAGACAAGCUGCAAAGAGCUCCAUGUAGGCCUCUGUGAAGCCUGAACUCGAGUAGAGCCCAAGCAAACCAGGAAGGAGGAGACAGCCAGAGUGGCCACCACUGUUCUCUGCAGCAGACACUUUGCUGCCCUGCCCAACCCUGCUCAGCAUUUGCCAGAAGGUGCCUGAAAAUUAAAACAAAACAAAACUCAAAAUGACAUUUAUGAAGCCAAUGCAGGAAGGACUCAACUGACAUCACAAGGGCUACAAGAAUCCACUAGUCUACUAGUCUGUUGAUGAGUGAAAAAUGAUGCCUGACAAGUGAAAAAAGUCCUGAUAAGUAAUGUGCGAAUAUAGCUUGCCCUUCAGGUCACUGAGGCUUCCUUUUGAACAAGAUUGGUAUUUAUAUUUAGACAAGAAUCUACAAGCAGCAGUUCCGAGUAGCAUGGGCUGCAGAAUUCGGCACAGACUGACAAGUCUUAUCCUGCAAGACUAGACAUCCAUACCUCCUCCAGGUUGGCCUUCCUUGCUGGUCCAAUUUACCCAACUCACUUUGCUGCUACAAGAAGCUGACUGCAGAAGAACAGACACCUUUUGGAUUUACCCCUGCUGCCUAAUCCCCAAGCUGCUUUUGGUUCUUUGUCGCCUGGUUCCAUGCCUGAGGAUAGAGGUCCUACGGUUGUGCCUGAGUUAUGAGGGUCCAGUUGCUACUAAAGGAAGGAUGAGGUUGUAUGAUAAUCAUUGUGCCCCUCUGGGCUCUCCCUAUCCCAGAUCUUUUCUUAAAUCCAAAAACCUGUUUAUCUACAGCCUUCUUUUCUCUAGCCAGCCUGGAAGUGAUUUAAUUCGGACACUAUGCUAAAUUGCCUCUUUGCAAGUAUCUGGUUAAUCUUUGUAAAGCAUUUUUAGUAGUAAUAUUGCUUUAAUCAACUCUUAUUCCACGGUACCCCUGAACCCCAAAUAAAACCUUCCUUUGUUUUGAA